rnacentral:rRNA from 1 species
UACGUAGGGUGCGAGCGUUAAUCGGAAUUACUGGGCGUAAAGCGUGCGCAGGCGGUCUCGUAAGCUGGGUGUGAAAGCCCCGGGCUUAACCUGGGAACGGCAUUCAGGACUGCGAGGCUCGAGUGUGGCAGAGGGAGGUGGAAUUCCACGUGUAGCAGUGAAAUGACGUAGAGAUGUGGAGGAACACCGAUGGCGAAGGCAGCCUCCUGGGCCAGCACUGACGCUCAUGCACGAAAGCGUGGGGAGCAAACAGG